CCGGCCGCGUUUUCCGGGAAGGAAGUGGAACUCUUCUUGCCGCGGGCCGGCUGGGAGAGGGUCAAUAACGUGGUAAAUACUGACGGCCGUGUCGUUAUUGAGGGGGAGCUAAGCCCCGUGUUUUAAAGUUAUAGUCUGUAGCCGUGUUUCAGAAGAAAGGCAAGUCGUCCCCCAAGUCACAUGAUGUCCAGAGGAGCCUGGGCUCUAGAGCGGUGGCUCCCUGGAGGGUAGCAGGGCAGGGGCUGCCCCUUCGGUCUUUGCAGCGUCUGUGAGAAAGCGCUUUCCAGAGGGAAAUGAAGCCGAAGAAAAAGCUGAUGCUGUGAGGAGGCAGCCUGGGCCCCCCGGCCUUGUGGCCGUAUAGGAUGAAUGUGGGCUAUAACACCUUCCUUAUCUCCCUAACGGUUCCUGGUUCCUGGCCCCGUCCGCAGUCUCUGGUUCCUGCGGAAAGACAACUCGAAAGUGGGGCCUGGCUCCAAAUACCUGCCCCCUAACACGCACGUCCUAAUGCCAGGUCCUGGAGACCCGCUACCCCUUGUUCCGCCCCUUUUCAGUUUUGCCUGCACGCGUUAUUGUUAACCUUGACUUCAUAGUUCCAUGACCUCAUUGCCGUCCUAUAACUCACCACUGUGCACUUCUCCCAAGCUACUGAGGUCCUCCCAAUCUACAACAUUUCGUACUUGGAAAUUAUCUUUCCUGGCCAGGCGCGGUGGCUCACGCCUGUAAUCUCAGCACUUUGGGAGGCCGAGGCGGGCGGAUCACAAGGUCAGGAGUUCCAGACCAGCCUGGCAAAUAUGGUGAAACCCCGUCUCUACUAAAAAUACAAAAAUUAGCCGGGUGUGGUGGCGGUCGCCUGUAAUUCCAGCUAUUCGGGAGGCUGAGGCAGGAGAAUUGCUUGAACCCGCAUGCGGAGGUUGCUUUGAGCCGAGUUUGCACCACUGCACUCCAGCCUGGGCGACAGAAUGAGACCCCGUCUCAAAAAAAAAAAAAAAAGAAAGAAAGAAAUUAUAUUUCCUGGCUAAGCGCGGUGGCUCACGCCUGUAAUCCCAACACUUUGCAAGAAAAAAGAAAAUUCUUUUUCCUGACCCAUCCAUCUAGCAUCCCACCUGACUAUUCAGUUUAGUUCAUCUGAAAUUUAUUGAGCUCCACAGUUUGGUACUCUACAACUCUUGGAUAUUCAAAUAUUUACAAGUUACUGAAUUUGUCCUCAAGAAACUCAGCUUAUCCGACUUUGUGGUUCUAUGGAGAAGAAAAAAAAAAACUGGGAAAGAUAGCCCUGUAAGCAAAUAAACAUAAUGCAGUUCCUGAGUGCUAUGAUAGAGAUAUACACAGGGUGUUGCAGAACCAUACCCAGAAGGCUUGCAAAAGGCUUUCCAAAAGGAAGUCACGCCUACGUUGUGUUCAAAGGUUAGGAAUCUGGGCAAGGAUGUCCGGGAAGGGUGGGAUUUCAAGUUUAGGAACCUGAGUGCAAAGGAACUACCAGUGAUUAUUGCUGCAGUUUAGAGCUUGAGGCCGGGCGCGGUAGCUCACUCCUGUAUUCUCAGCACUUUGGGAGGCGGAAGGAGGCAGAUUGCUUCAGCUCAGGAGUUCGAGACCCCUCUGGGCAACAUAGCUAAACCUGUCUAAAAAAAAAAAAUAGCUGCGCGUGAUGGCGUAGCCUGUGCUCCCAGCUACUCAAGAGGCUGAGGUGGGAGAAUCACUUGAGCCCAGGAGGUCAAGUCUGCAGUGAGCUGAGAUCAUGCCAGUGCACUCCAGCCUGGGCGAUAUAGUGAGACCCUGUCUCUAAAAA
rnacentral:lncRNA from 10 species